rnacentral:misc_RNA from 1 species
GCAAUUCAUGUACUAUAUACUCAAAAUUUGAACCCUAAACGAGUUUAGGGAUCAGGAAAUAAGAAAUUCUUCGGAGUAUAACCUAAUGUGAGCAUAUCACCUCUAGGAACAAAUAAUUUCACUGGAUUCCAAGUACUAUACGUUCACCAGCACAAAGAAUGCAGCAGUCACAAGCAACAAAGGGUGAAUGAGCAGCAACACAUUCCCCAGCAUCUUACAACUGAACAUCAUAACUCAAAAAGGCCAUUGGAAAGAAAAAUCCCCUUUUCCAGCAAAAUAUAACUAGGUAUAUGCUUGAAGCACCAAAUACUGCUAAUGAACCCGACCAACCG